AUGUCAAAGUAUCAUAAAAUACACGAAAUAAAAACCAUUAUUUAUAUGGUUUAUUUCCUUAUAGGGUGUUUUUCCUGAAUGUGCCAUUUGAUUCCAUCAUGGAGCGGCUGACUCUGAGAAGAAUUGAUCCAGUCACUGGGGAAAGGUACCACCUCAUGUACAAGCCACCUCCCACCAUGGAGAUCCAGGCUCGCCUCCUGCAGAACCCGAAGGAUGCUGAAGAGCAGGUCAAGCUGAAAAUGGACCUGUUCUACAGGAACUCGGCUGACUUGGAGCAGUUGUAUGGGUCGGCCAUCACCCUCAAUGGGGACCAGGACCCAUACACAGUCUUCGAAUACAUCGAGAGCGGGAUCAUUAAUCCCCUGCCCAAGAAAAUCCCCUGAUGGGUUCACAGCCAGGAGUGCCACCCCAGGGAAAGAGUUAAUCCCCUGUCCCCAGCCCCCCAGCCUUGGCACAGCUCCCCUAAAAAGCCAAUAAAGCCUGCUGGA
rnacentral:sRNA from 1 species